GAUGAACGCUGGCGGCGUGCCUAAUACAUGCAAGUCGAGCGAACGGACGCGAAGCUUGCUUCACUGAUGUUAGAGGCGGACGGGAGAGUAACACGUGGAUAACCUAACUAUAAGACUGGGAUAACUUAGGGAAACCGUAGCUAAUACCGGAUAAUAUCUUGAACCGCAUGGUUCAAAAGUGAAAGACGGUCUUGCUGUCACCUAUAGAUGGAUCCGCGCUGCAUUAGCUAGUUGGUAAGGUAACGGCUUACCAAGGCAGCAAUGCAUAGCCGACCUGAGAAGGUGUUGCCCCACACUGGAAGUGAGACGCGGUCCUGACUCCGAGAGGAGGCAGCAGUAGGGACGCUUCCGAGAUGGGCGGAAGACUGACGGAGCGGCGCCAGGUUGGUGAAGAAGGUCUUCGUGCCGGAUAACGCUGUUAGUGGUGUAAACCGUAUUUGUAAGGGACGGAGCACAUCGUGACGGUACCUGAACAGAAAGCCACGGCUAACUACGUG
rnacentral:rRNA from 1 species